UUACGUAUCCUAAAGGGUUGUUGGAGACUACGACGUAGAUAGGUCAGGUGUGUAAGUGCUGCGAGGCAUUGAGCUAACUGAUACUAAUUGCCCGUGAGGCUUAACCAUACAACACCCAAGGGGUUU
rnacentral:rRNA from 1 species